rnacentral:rRNA from 1 species
AACGGAAAGGCCUCUUCGGAGGUACUCGAGUGGCGAACGGGUGAGUAACACGUGGGUGAUCUGCCCUGCACUCUGGGAUAAGCCUGGGAAACUGGGUCUAAUACCGGAUAGGACCAUGCUUUAGUGUGUGUGGUGGAAAGUUUUUUCGGUGUAGGAUGAGCCCGCGGCCUAUCAGCUUGUUGGUGGGGUAAUGGCCUACCCAAUGCGGCGACGGGUAGCCGGCCUGAGAGGGUGUACGGCCACAUUGGGACUGAGAUACGGCCCAGACUCCUACGGGAGGCAGCAGUGGGGAAUAUUGCACAAUGGGCGCAAGCCUGAUGCAGCGACGCCGCGUGGGGGAUGAAGGCCUUCGGGUUGUAAACUCCUUUCGCUAGGGACGAAGCUUUUUGUGACGGUACCUAGAUAAGAAGCACCGGCUAACUACGUGCCAGCAGCCGCGGUAAUACGUAGGGUGCGAGCGUUGUCCGGAGUUACUGGGCGUAAAGGGCUCGUAGGUGGUUUGUCGCGUCGUCUGUGAAAUUCUGGGGCUUAACUCCGGGCGUGCAGGCGAUACGGGCAUAACUUGAGUGCUGUAGGGGUAACUGGAAUUCCUGGUGUAGCGGUGAAAUGCGCAGAUAUCAGGAGGAACAUCGAUGGCGAAGGCAGGUUACUGGGCAGUU